CCCUUAGAGUUUGAUCCUGGCUCAGGAUGAACGCUAGCUACAGGCUUAACACAUGCAAGUCGAGGGGCAGCAUUUUAGUUUGCUUGCAAACUAAAGAUGGCGACCGGCGCACGGGUGAGUAACACGUAUCCAACCUGCCGAUAACUCGGGGAUAGCCUUUCGAAAGAAAGAUUAAUAUCCGAUAGUAUAUUAAAACCGCAUGGUUUUACUAUUAAAGAAUUUCGGUUAUCGAUGGGGAUGCGUUCCAUUAGUUUGUUGGCGGGGUAACGGCCCACCAAGACUACGAUGGAUAGGGGUUCUGAGAGGAAGGUCCCCCACAUUGGAACUGAGACACGGUCCAAACUCCUACGGGAGGCAGCAGUGAGGAAUAUUGGUCAAUGGACGAGAGUCUGAACCAGCCAAGUAGCGAGAAGGAUGACUGCCCUAUGGGUUGUAAACUUCUUUUAUAUGGGAAUAAAGUAUUCCACGUGUGGGAUUUGUAUGUACCAUAUGAAUAAGGAUCGGCAACUCUG
rnacentral:rRNA from 1 species